CAAUCCAUCGGUAACAUUACUUGGAGCUAUAUUUUUAUUCACCACAUGAUAUGUGUUUUGCUUGGAGCGUCUUGUAUCUUGGGAGUCUUUUCUUUUUGUUGUGUCACAAUCAUCCUUGCUGCACACCUUUUUGAGAGAGAGAGACAUGCAUUCAUCGUGAUUUUGCUAGAUACUUUUGCUCUAGUGCUUCACUUAUAUCUUUUGAGCUAGAUACUUUUGCUCUAGUGCUUCACUUAUAUAUUUUGAGCUACAUACUUUUGCUCUUGUGCCUCACUUAUAUCUUUAGAGCAUGGCGGUGCGAGAUUUGGUAGUUGGCUUAUGCUAUGAAAGUAGUCUCAAAUGUGACAGGUACCCAAAGAGGAUGCAAAAACCUCCAUCUUCAUGUGCAUUGAGUAGAAAGAGAAGUUUUGAUUCCUCUCAAUUAGUUUUGAGACGUGGAUUUGGUAAUAUUAAGAGUUAUGUUAGUAGGGUGUUGUGAAUCUAGAAAUACUUGUGUUGAAGUUAGUGAUUCUCGUAGCAUGCACGUAUGGUGAACCACUAUGUUAGGAAGUCGAGGCAUAAUUGAUCUAUUGAUUGUCAUCCUUUGUUUUGAGGUCGGGAUCACGCGAUGGUUAACACCUACCAACCCUUCCCCUCGGAGUAUGCGUUUAGCACUUUGUUUCGAUUACUAACAAAAACUUUCGCAACAAGUAUGUGAGUUCUUCAUGACUAAUGUGAGUCCAUGG
rnacentral:lncRNA from 1 species